rnacentral:lncRNA from 1 species
GAGAAAUACAGGCGCCGAACGAAGAUAUCAAUAACACAGUUCUAAGAGCACGACAAAAAGAGAUCAAUAAUGAUGUCACAAACUAGUAUGUGGGAGAUGCAUAUCAUGAUCAUCAUAAGCCUUUUCCUGUCAAAAUGGGGUUGGCUGCGGAGGUGAAACUUUAAGUCAAGCAGGCUCCAAGAUACACAGCAGAUGCAUGAACCGAUAAAUUUUUCAAUCUGGACCUGGCACUUAACACUACACGUGAAGAAAAUGUGUAUUUUUCUCCUUAAUGUUUUGCAGAUAAAUAGGUGAUCAGAGGAUUUCUCACGCAUGGAAAAUGUAACUGGAUUGAUAGAGAAACAAUUAUCACAAUAGUAAUGGCAUCUCUGGCAUACCAUGACUUGGAACUGAGUCAAGAACUGUCAAAGAUAGCCAUCAUAAACGGUAACCAGAAGUUAGAAUGUCUUCAGCUGAAGAAUUCCAUGCAAGAUAUGGAUUAUCAGCUGGUGAAAAGGUUUUGUGCUGGAAUUUACAUAUAUUCAUGGAUAAAGCAAAGGGAGGCUUUGACUUCUAUAAAAGGUUUCCGCGAAAUGCUGAAAAAA